rnacentral:rRNA from 1 species
UACAGAGGUCCCGAGCGUUGUUCGGAUUUAUUGGGCGUAAAGGGUGCGUAGGCGGCGGAGUAAGUUGGGUGUGAAAUCCCGAGGCUCAACCUCGGAAUUGCAUUCAAUACUGCUUCGCUCGAGUACUGGAGAGGAGGCUGGAAUUUACGGUGUAGCAGUGAAAUGCGUAGAUAUCGUAGGGAAGGCCGGUGGCGAAAGCGAGCCUCUGGACAGUUACUGACGCUGAUGCACGAAGGCCAGGGGAGCAAACGGG